GGCUUAAGUUGGUGGCAUUUGGUUGCCUUUCCUGGGGAGAGGCGGCAGGUGCUCAGCUCUGCAGACGUGGGGGCAAGAGAAGGCCCAAGCUGCCUCGAGAAGAGCAGAGGUGCCCCAUGGGGACCAUGAUGACCGGUCGCAUGUGCCAAAGCCAGCCCCCGGCAGGGCCAGCGCAGGGUUUCUGCGGGGCCGUCCUGUGGCUCUGAUAUCUAUGAGUGGGUGGCCAGCAAAGGCACAGGCACCAGCAGAAAGGAGCAGAGAUGCCCAGAACAUGCUGUCCCCCAAUGCCAGCCCCAAGCGAGGCCAGCUUAGGGUGCGGUGGGCAGAGCCAUCCUGCAGCUCUGAGAUCCACGAAGUGGAGGUGGGAGUAGCGCCAGGCUCCACGGCGUUGGAGCUCUCACAACUUGAGCUCAAUUUUAUUCCGGAGCCAUGACCUGCAGCACAUUGGUGACCAGAAGACGCCCAAAGGCAUUGUGUGAUCAAAGCAAAAUAAAUAUGUUCUUGUUUCUGGAAUUACUAAAGCUUUGAAAAUGGACUUAUCGACCUCAAACCAAUGGGACAUAUUCCUACAUGGCCUUCUCCCCUGUUAGGGUUCCCAGGGUAUGUCUUUAAUGUCUGGUUUAAUAGAAGAAGACUUGGUUCUCCUUUCUGCUUCUAUGUUUAAUUUCUUGUGACAUCCCACGUCAGGUAGCUGGGAAACUCCAAUUAUACUUGUGAGAGAAUGAAAGUGGAAAAGGGUUUCCCAGAGGAAGAGAGAGAAUUUGGACAAAUGAAUGAGGAACAACGCUCUCCUGAGGGUUUUCUUUAAGGGGCGAGGAUCACUGCCGCUAGCUCCUUUGAAAGCAAAGUUAAGAGGCAGCGCAGGAAGGCACAGCAGGAAGGCUCAUGGUUAGACUACAGAGAAGGAAGCAGCCACUGCUGGGGACCUACCCUGUGCUGGUCACUGACAAGCUGUCUCAUUAAACCUUCCCGGACCCUCAACCCCUCCUAGUAUCUUAUCCUCAUUUUACAGAUGAGAAGACUGCGGCCAAGAGAGGUCCAAUGCCAGUGGGAUCAGCUUCGAUGGGAUGCGCACAGACUGACCUCUUCUCCCCAGCCCCUUCAACUUCCCAGAGCUGCAGGGGGCCUGGGAGUUCUUGGUAACAGCACAUUAAACCUCUGUUUGUGGGAACUUUAAUUUAAACACAAAUUAGAGAAGGCAAAUGACUCUGGCAGCCAGAUAAGCCAUCCCAGGAAAACAAGGAGAAAGCCAAGAGAAUCAGCCCAGAUAAGGUCUGACUUUAAACUACUGCUGAUACCCAGAAGCCUGGGACAGAUGAAAUCUAGGGGUCCUGAAUGAAGAACCCCAGAAGCUCCACACCCCAGUUGUCCUUGCUCUGGGCUCUAUGCCAGCUCCCUUUCCUGUGUUCUCUAUAUUUCUAUCUUUUUGCAAAAUUUUAUCCUGAUUCUUUGGCUCCAUCCCUCCCACCCCCACCCUACUGUUUUAGAGAAUGCACUUUCUUUACUUUGCUUCUCAUCUUCUUCUGUGACCUACUAUUCUGAGAAAGUUCUACUUGUUAUCUAACCUCCAUCUAUGCUACUACCUUUAGAGUCUAAUACAUCCUGCUUAGUGAUAACUCUGGGAGUUUCUGUUCAUGUGGCAAAUGUGGUGUAGUAAAAACAACCUGAAAAAGACCUGGGUGAACUUCUCUGCAUCUCAGUUUCCUCAUCUGUAUGAUGAGCGUGUGAG
rnacentral:lncRNA from 1 species